GAUGAACGCUGGCGGCGUGCCUAAUACAUGCAAGUCGAGCGAACAGACGAGGAGCUUGCUCCUCUGACGUUAGCGGCGGACGGGUGAGUAACACGUGGAUAACCUACCUAUAAGACUGGGAUAACUUCGGGAAACCGGAGCUAAUACCGGAUAAUAUAUUGAACCGCAUGGUUCAAUAGUGAAAGACGGUUUUGCUGUCACUUAUAGAUGGAUCCGCGCCGCAUUAGCUAGUUGGUAAGGUAACGGCUUACCAAGGCAACGAUGCGCAGCCGACCUGAGAGGGGGGUUGGCCACCCGGGAACGUGGACAGCGUCCCGGCCUCCAAGGGAGGCAGCAGUAGGGAAUCUUCCGCAAUGGGCGAAAGCCUGACGGAGCAACGCCGCGUGAGUGAUGAAGGUCUUCGGAUCGUAAAACUCUGUUAUUAGGGAAGAACAAAUGUGUAAGUAACUAUGCACGUCUUGACGGUACCUAAUCAGAAAGCCACGGCUAACUACGUG
rnacentral:rRNA from 1 species